rfam:Salmo salar isolate Sally breed double haploid chromosome ssa12, whole genome shotgun sequence.
UGGCUCAGUUGGUAGAGUAUGGUGUUUGCAAUGCCAGGGUUGUGGGUUCGAUUCCCAC